GACGAACGCUGGCGGCGUGCCUAACACAUGCAAGUCGAACGGAGAAUUUCAAUAAGCUUGCUUAGCGAAAUUUUUAGUGGCGGACGGGUGAGUAACGCGUGGGUAACCUACCCAUAAACCCGGGACAACCCUUGGAAACGAGGGCUAAUACCGGAUAAUCUUUCUGCUUGGCAUCAAGUGUUAAGAAAAGGUGGCCUCUGUAUAUGCUACCGAUUAUGGAUGGACCCGCGUCUGAUUAGCUAGUUGGUGGGGUAAAGGCCUACCAAGGCGACGAUCAGUAGCCGGCCUGAGAGGGUGAACGGCCACACUGGGACUGAGACACGGCCCAGACUCCUACGGGAGGCAGCAGUGGGGAAUCUUCCGCAAUGGACGAAAGUCUGACGGAGCAACGCCGCGUGUAUGAUGAAGGUCUUCGGAUUGUAAAGUACUGUCUUUGGGGAAGAAUGACUGAUUUGAAAAUAUUGAGUCAGUAUGACGGUACCCAAGGAGGAAGCCCCGGCUAACUACGUGCCAGCAGCCGCGGUAACAC
rnacentral:rRNA from 1 species